rnacentral:tRNA from 1 species
AUGGAUAAAGCUUUUUCCGUUUGAAGCGCUGGCUUUUUAAUUCAGAGAAAUCUCUUAGGGGUUGUCCUUA